rnacentral:misc_RNA from 1 species
UUUCCGUAGGUGAACCUGCGGAAGGAUCAUUAUCGAAUUUCGAGGGGAAGGAAGAUGAGGAGUGGAGACUGUCGCUGGCAUUCCCGCCUGGGAAGCAUGUGCACGCCUUGCUUUUCGUUGACCUUUCUCUUACUCUCACACCUGUGCACCCAUUGUAGGUCCUCGAAAGAGGAUCUAUGUUUUUAUCAUCACACGCAUCGUAUGUCCAUAGAAUGUAACAUGAUCGUCGAUCGACCUCGCGGUCGGGUGGCGGUCUAAAUAAAUAAAUACAACUUUCAGCAACGGAUCUCUUGGCUCUC